AAGUCGUAACAAGGUAACCGUAGGUGAACCUGCGGUUGGAUCAUUAAAAAAAAUUUAAAAUAAGGUGGAAUUUUAAAUUUUUCUUGUUAAGAAAUUUUUAAAAUUCUACUUUAUUAACAUUUUUGUGCACUGUAAUUGAUUAUCUAGUGGGGGAAAUCUUAUAAAUAGGCUACAAAAAAAAAUUCUUUAAGGGUUUUUUUAGGCUGGAGUUUUGUUUUAUUUUAGGCUUAGCCCUUCAGGGUAAAAACUUAAAAUAAAGUAUCACUUUACCCACUAGAAAAUUUUUUAACUUUUAAUAUUUUUAUAUUUUGCCUUUAGAUUAAUUAAUAAAAGUUUUAACUUAAAAAAAUAACUUUUGACAACGGAUCUCUAGGCUCUC
rnacentral:misc_RNA from 1 species